rnacentral:rRNA from 1 species
GGUUAAAGUAGUAAGGGCGCAGGGUGGAUGCCUUGGCACUAAGAGCCGAUGAAAGACGUGAUAAGCUGCGAAAAGCUUCGGGGAGGAGCAAAUAUCCCGUGAUCCGGAGAUGUCUGAAUGGGGAAACCCGCAUGAGAAGACCUCAUGCAUCCAUACGCCAAUCCAUAACGUAUGGAAGGGAACCCGGGGAACUGAAACAUCUAAGUACCCGGAGGAAAAGAAAGAAAACUCGAUUCCGUAAGUAGCGGCGAGCGAACGCGGAGGAGCCUAAACCGGAGUGCGUGCAUUCUGGGGUUACGGACUGCAUUUAAGAUUCUCAGAGGCUAACAGAACGGUUUUGGGAAAGCCGGCCAGAGAGGGUGAAAGCCCCGUACGUGAAAACCAAGCUGACUGAGCAGGAUCCGGAGUACCACGAGACACGAGGAACCUUGUGGGAAGUAAGGGGGACCACCCCCUAAGGCUAAAUACUACUUAGUGACCGAUAGCGCAUAGUACUGUGAAGGAAAGGUGAAAAGGACCCCGGGAGGGGAGUGAAAGAGAACCUGAAACCCUGUGUCUACAAGCUGUGGGACCUCUUUAUAUGAGGGACUGCGUACUUUUUGUAGAACGGUCCGGCGAGUUGUGCGUACUGGCGAGGUUAAGGACUUAAGGUCUGGAGCCGAAGUGAAAGCAAGCGUUAAUAGCGCGUCAAGUCAGUGAGUGCAGACCCGAAACCGGGUGACCUAUCCAUGUCCAGGUUGAAGCUUCCGUAAGAGGAAGUGGAGGACCGAACCCACAUCCGUUGAAAAGGGUGGGGAUGAGGUGUGGAUAGCGGAGAAAUUCCAAUCGAACCCGGAGAUAGCUGGUUCUCCUCGAAAUAGCUUUAGGGCUAGCCUCAUGAGAGUCUUUUGGAGGUAGAGCACUGAAUUCCCGCGGGGGCGUCAAAGCUUACCAAAGGAUAUCAAACUCCGAAUGCCAGUAAGAUGAUUCAUGGGAGUCAGACUGCACGAGAUAAGUUGGGCAGUCAAAAGGGAAAGAGCCCAGACC